rnacentral:rRNA from 1 species
GAUGAACGCUGGCGGUAUGCUUAACACAUGCAAGUCGAACGGACUCUUCGGAGUUAGUGGCGGACGGGUGAGUAACGCGUGAGAAUCUGGCUUUGGGUUCGGGACAACCACUGGAAACGGUGGCUAAUACCGGAUGUGCCGAGAGGUAAAAGAGAAAUUGCCUGAAGAUGAGCUCGCGUCUGAUUAGCUAGUUGGUGAGGUAAAGGCUCACCAAGGCAGCGAUCAGUAGCUGGUCUGAGAGGAUGACCAGCCACACUGGGACUGAGACACGGCCCAGACUCCUCCGGGGGGCAGCAGUGGGGAAUUUUCCGCAAUGGGCGAAAGCCUGACGGAGCAAUACCGCGUGAGGGAAGAAGGCUCUUGGGUUGUAAACCUCUUUUCUUAGGGAAGAACAAAAUGACGGUACCUAAGGAAUCAGCAUCGGCUAACUCCGUG